rnacentral:rRNA from 1 species
UACGGGGGGGGCAAGCGUUGUUCGGAAUUACUGGGCGUAAAGGGCUCGUAGGCGGCCAACUAAGUCGGACGUGAAAUCCCCAGGCUCAACCUGGGAACUGCGUCCGAUACUGGAUGGCUUGAAUCCGGAGAGGGAUGCAGAAUUCCAGGUAUAGCGGUGAAAUGCGUAGAGAUGUGGAGGAAUACCGAUGGCGAAGGCAGCCCCCUGGGAUAACACUGACGCUCAUGCACGAAAGCGUGGGGAGCAAACAGG